rnacentral:tRNA from 1 species
GCCUGGGUGGCUCAGUCGGUUAAGCGUCCGACUUCAGCUCGGGUCACGAUGUCGCAGUCCGUGGGUUCGAGCCCCGCGUCAGGCU